UACAGAGGGGGCAAGCGUUGUUCGGAAUUACUGGGCGUAAAGGGCGCGUAGGCGGCCUGUUAAGUCAGACGUGAAAUCCCCGGGCUCAACCCGGGAACUGCGUCUGAUACUGGUAGGCUUGAAUCCGGGAGAGGGAUGCGGAAUUCCAGGUGUAGCGGUGAAAUGCGUAGAUAUCUGGAGGAACACCGGUGGCGAAGGCGGCAUCCUGGACCGGCAUUGACGCUGAGGCGCGAAAGCCAGGGGAGCAAACGGG
rnacentral:rRNA from 1 species